AGUGUUGAAGGUUGCUCUUGACCACGGCAAAGCAUCUGGUGUGAUCAAGUCACAUGGAUUACCUUAGCCAUAAUUUCUAUAAGAAUGUCGCUCAUGUUACAUGCCUUGCUUUCUCUAGUAAGUAGAACAAGAAUACUGUGCCUACAAACUUGUGGGUAUUGAUGAAGAUAAUCACUUAAUCAGCCUCUAACUAACUUCCUAUUUUCAGGAACGAAGAUCUGGAUCACCCUCGCCCCUCUAGAGAAAUCAGUUUACUCAUUCAAGUUCUGGAAAUUUUUUGUAGCCUUUUGAGUUUACUUCGGUCUUGCAUGUAUUAGCUUUCUGUUUGUGCCCCUAUUUAUGUAUGUUUCUUGUGUGCAAGUGCUCCGUUCUGUGUGUGUGUGACUUGUGUGUGGCUUGACUCUGUGUGUGUGGCUUGACUUUGUGUGUGUGGCUUGACUGUGUGUGUGUGUGGCCUGACUGUGUGUGUGACUCUGUGUGGCUUGACUAUGUGUGUGUGACUCUGUGUGGCUUGACUAUGUGUGUGUGAUUCUGUGUGUGCUUGAUUCUCUGCUUGUGUGACUCUGUGUGAAUGUUGCAUUUGUUUGAUGGUGUGGCC
rnacentral:lncRNA from 1 species